ACCCUCCAGAUUCUCACGCCUCCAAUGUAAAUAUUGGUCUGAGGGGCUGAAAAAGGAGAAAUAAUAAAACUGAAGUGGACUUGGCGUCUUUAGUGACAUAUAAGUUCAUUUCAAACAUAU
rnacentral:snoRNA from 1 species